ACAGGGAUUGCCCUAGUAACGGCGAGUGAAGCGGCAACAGCUCAAAUUUGAAAUCUGGCGUCUUUGGCGUCCGAGUUGUAAUUUGCAGAGGGCGCUUUGGCAUUGGCAGCGGUCCAAGUUCCUUGGAACAGGACGUCACAGAGGGUGAGAAUCCCGUACGUGGUCGCUAGCCUUUACCGUGUAAAGCCCCUUCGACGAGUCGAGUUGUUUGGGAAUGCAGCUCUAAAUGGGAGGUAAAUUUCUUCUAAAGCUAAAUACUGGCCAGAGACCGAUAGCGCACAAGUAGAGUGAUCGAAAGAUGAAAAGCACUUUGGAAAGAGAGUUAAAAAGCACGUGAAAUUGUUGAAAGGGAAGCGCUUGCAGCCAGACUUGCCUGUAGUUGCUCAUCCGGGUUUUUACCCGGUGCACUCUUCUAUAGGCAGGCCAGCAUCAGUUUGGGCGGUUGGAUAAAGGUCUCUGUCACGUACCUCCUCUCGGGGAGAACUUAUAGGGGAGACGUAAUGCAACCAGCCUGGACUGAGGUCCGCGCAUCUGCUAGGAUGCUGGCGUAAUGGCUGUAAGCGGCCCGUCUUGAAACACGGACCAAGGAGUCUAACAUCUAUGCGAGUGUUUGGGUGUCAAGCCCGAGCGCGUAAUGAAAGUGAACGGAGGUGGGAACCUUUCGGGGUGCACCAUCGACCGAUCCUGAUGUCUUCGGAUGGAUUUGAGUAAGAGCAUAGCUGUUGGGACCCGAAAGAUGGUGAACUAUGCUUGAAUAGGGUGAAGCCAGAGGAAACUCUGGUGGAGGCUCGCAGCGGUUCUGACGUGCAAAUCGAUCGUCAAAUUUGGGCAUAGGGGCGAAAGACUAAUCGAACUAUCUAGUAGCUGGUUCCUGCCGAGUU
rnacentral:rRNA from 1 species